UUGAAGCACUGUGCUCGUCGGGGGGUUGGGCAGGGCUGGCCUCUUUCCUCGCUGUUUCGUUGGUGGGACCCGCGGGCUCUGUCGUUUCGUGAGAUAUCCCCGUCUUUCGCGAUUGCAGCCAGCGGCGGCGGCGGCCCCCUCGCCAAUCGGGAUUUCGUGGAGUUCGCCCAAGCGUGGCCUGCGGGAGAAUUCUGGUUCGUGGCGUGCGAUUAGGUGUAGAUACAAUCCAUAUGCAGGAUAGAUCAGCUCAAAAGGCUAGGACAUUAUGUGGAUAAGGUCAAGUUCAUCUUGAUAGGUGGGACUUUCAUGUCAUUACCGGCUGAUUAUCGUGAUUACUUCAUCAGAAAUCUUCAUGAUGCUUUAUCAGGGAAUACUUCUGCUAAUUUUGAGCAGGCGGUUUGUUAUUCGGAACAUAGUGCUGUCAAAUGCAUUGGUUUGACAAUUGAGUCGAGACCUGAUUAUUGCUUGGGGCCUCAUUUGCGGCAGAUGCUAUCUUAUGGCUGUACCCGCGUAGAAAUUUGUGUUCAAAUUCAGAUUACAUAUGAGGAUGUCGCACGUGACACAAACAGAGGCCACACAGUAGCUGCUGUUGCUGAUUGCUUUUCGUUAGCGAAAGAUGCUGGCUUUAGAUUUACCUAAUGUUGGAGUUGGAAGAGAUAUGGAAAGUUUUAGGGAUGUUUUUGGAAAUCCAGCAUUUCGAGCAGAUGGUCUAAGGAUCUACCCAAGUCUUGUGAUUCGUGGAAUUGGUCUUUAUGAGCUCUGGAAAACUGGAAGGAAACUAUCCACCUGAGCUAUUAGUGGAUGUUGUAGCAAGGAUUCUGUCGGUGGUAUCACCAUGGACACGGGUCUAUCGUGUCUAGAACGAUAUCCCAAUGCCACUUCUUAUCUCUGGUGUCAGGAAGGAUGCUGCCUAGUUUCUCUCGCCACAACUAGGAACCGAGGAGUUACUACUCUUCAAUGCAUACUGGGCCAAAUUAGAGUGUAAUAUUGGCAAAGAUCUAGCCGCAGGCCAUGGAGUUCGGGAAAAUGCUCUCGAGAAAAGAACUUCUGUCUGGAGUCGAGUUCGUUUGAUCAAAGGCACGGAUGGAAGAACCACCAUCACAAUGAACUGGGGAAAUUUCAUGCGUGCAGCCGCAAUAAAAAAAGGAGACAUCUUUGCUUUCAUUUUCACAGUCCGAUGCAACAAGCUGCGCCUCACGGUUAACCGCCUUAGCCACAUAGAUGGACGGUUAGUACAGACAUGUGUUCCAUCUUCAUGCAUUCAAAUAUUUUAAUUAACACAAUUGUCGGCUCUUUUAUUUAAUCUUUCAUGUGCAGAUUUGCGAAGAAUCUGAUCCACUUAAAUAAACUUGUGUUACCCAGCUAUGUCUUUUUGAAAUCCCCUGUCUAUAUAUGUGUGACCUGACUAAUCUCCUAGAAUUCGUUACAAACAAGAACUUUCUGUGCUACCAGGAAUGAAUAUGAAAAAGCAAAUACUUCUCGAGUAGGUACCCGUUGAUCCCCGCCAUCGGUUCUGAUGCUGAUCUUUCCAUUGUUCCACAUGAGAUAGCAGAAGAACAAUGGUAGUAAGAAGUUGAAGACAAAGCCCUGAAUGCAGCUACUGCUUCCAAUAAAGGCGAUUUAUUCUUAUGCAUCGCCAAUGUGAAGUUGAUGGUAUCUGUCUAAAUCUUCUACGUAGCUUCUUAUUUUGAUGUGUUGUUUCAUCGCGGGUGAUGUAGAUUGGAAUCAGCCUUGCGGGAAUGCGGUCUGCGCAUUGCCUGUACUUAUGACAGUAUGUUUGCACGCUCGUGUUAAAACUUAGUCAAUGGUGCUAUGCCAAGAACUUCCUUCUGAAGCAACUUUAGGCUCCGACAUGAUGCAGAAAUACUGUCGUAUUUUGUUGUUUAUAAAUGUUAUUCCUCUGAUCCUAAAUUCUUGACUUAAACUUUGCCCAAAUAUGGAUGUAUCUAUUCUUAAAAAGUGUCUAGAUACAUGUUAUAUUUCGACAACAAUUUAUGAUCGGAGUAUUUCAGUUUCUGCCUUCCUGGAUGCAUUGCAGGAUCAAGCAAGGCAAAUGAGCUCGCUUGGUCCAUAUGCUCAUAAACUAUUUCUGCUACUAUACUAAAAAAGUCAUUGAGAGCCUACUGACUGCUCCUCUGAGGCAUAAUUAGAUUUACCAACAUACGCUGCUGCUUGUCUAAGAUACUAUAUCGAUUCACAGUUUCAAAUGGAUAAUAACCAAUAUCACCCUGCUGCUCUUCUAAGAUACAUGAAUGAGCAAAAAUCAAGCUACACCAAGGAGCCUCAAGUUUCAUAAGAAGUGUGCCGAGAGCCCCCAGUUUUUUGUUUUGCACUGCAAGAAGCUGCAGCUGAUUUGGCAACCACGAGAUCACGCGUUCGCCCUCCCCUAUUUCGUAUUCCUCCCUCUGUCUCUCACAGCAACUCCUGAAGAAACCCUAAUCGGCGGUGUCGAUGGCAGGAGAAGUGCGGUGAUGGUGCGUUAGGACUGCUGCGACAACGAUGCACGGAAGGGAGGCUGUGGGUUGCCUUCCCACCUUUCAGUGCAGUGCAGGUCUCUUUGCUGCUCUUAGAAAUUACUACCAAGCCGCCGCCGCUCGCCAGCCAGAGCACUGCCGCCCCGCCCUAACCCCCUCACGGUAAAUCCCCUAACCACCACCAUCGUCCAGCUCUCUGCCGCCCGUCGACCUGCCGCCGUCACCCACCGGCCCACCCCUUCCGCCGCCCAUCUCCACCGACCCAAUUCUUGAUCUAAUUCGCUGGGUUUGUGUAAUUCUUGAUCUGCUUUAUUUGUUUUCCUGUUGAUUAAGGCCAUUGCCUCCAUUGAUGCGCAUGAACAACAUUGUGGUCCAAAUGUCCAAUGACGUUGACAAAGACCAAGCUGGUGGUGUAUGGACGGUGCACUUCAGCACUAUCUGGAGCACAUCCCCUUCUUCCUUGUCCCCUUUUAUGGUGGUACCAAACUACCAAUCCUUUCUUUAGCUCUUCGCCGAAGCCACUAUUUUAAUGCUUUUGAUCCGUAUGAUUUUUUUGGAUCAUGAACAAUUUGGCCUGAAUUGCAUACAGUUUACAAAGCCGCAAUGAAUAUGAAUUAUCAGGUAAUAUAUCUGCCAAGAGCUUCAAUUAGAAAUAGUUGAAUUUUUUGUGCAAAAAAAGAAGAAAUAGUUGAAUAUGAAAAUAGUUGAAUUUGAUCGUUUGGAUCUAAUAUCACGUUAUGCUUUCUUCUGAACAUGCACCCAUCAUUUUUGCUCUGCCGCAACCCAAAUUCUGCACUUAAUUUUUUCGGUAUCAUCUCAUUUGAGAUCCUUGACUGUUUUUUUAAUAGAAUUUGGGAUACAUGGAGAACAUGAUAUGCUGAAAAGCUUUUACCCUUCUAGUUAUUUUAGUCUUAGAACCAAGAUGUAUGUGUCUUUGCCAUUAAACUUUGAAUUUGGUAGUUGAUGUAUAGUUGACAUCGUGCAUAACAAGGGCAUGGUCUUAAUUUUUCUUGUUUACAUUCAAAAACAAUGGCAUGGUCUUAUCUAUUCUGCGGAUUGUGAGGAACAUACAAGUUUUCUUGUUUACAUUCAGGAUAACAAGUUAUGGAAUUUCUAAUGCGUUAUAAUGUCAAUUAUAGUAAAGUUGAUGCAUUUCUGUUCCAUCAGGAUGACUAUGCAAACUGAUCGAGCAUGUCAGAAUGUAGUGUUUAUUGGCUAUUAGUACAUCACAAUGGUGUAACUUAGUGCAUACAAAUACAUAUUUAUUCUUUCUUAAAUUGGGAUGUUGGAUGAUAUUAUCUUUAUAUUGCUACCUUAUUCCUUAUCCAAUGCUCAAUGCUUGCAUUAAUGGAAUGCAAUUAUGUUUACCUCAUUUUAUUACACUGACAUCAUGGUGCUGAACUUCAACUUUUGUUCUUUUGCUGCAAUGUAACCUUGCGUAGUACUUUGAUUUUACUUGCCUGAUUCCUGAAUUAUCCAAUCAGGUGGCAGGUGGCCCAAUAUAUAACAUAUAUGCUCAUGAUACUACGUGCUUUGGAGCUCAUAUCGGUACAUACAUGGUCAGCUGGGUUGGUUCCUUUUGUUCAUUCACAUAUUUUGCAAGAUCUUAGGAUCCAUUGUUUAACCAAAUCCUUCUAUUGAUUGUGUCGCCAUCUUCUCCUUGACACUGCACCACCUCCCUAUUCAUGGCUUAGUCGGUGGCUUACAACACCGGAACUUCAAUACUCCCUCUGUCUAACAAAGGAUGUCUCAACUUUGACUAAAUUUGUGCAUCUAUACACUAAGUCACAUCUAGGUGCAUCCAAAUUUUGACAAACUUGAGACAUCUUUUGUUGGACGGAGGGAGUAUUUGACUUUGAGCACCCUCUGAGCCCUCUCAGAGCAUCAGCCGUGUUGACCAUACGAUCUCAUCACACGGGCGUCCCUGGCCUUCAGAUCCGAUUGUUCUGCGGCCGCUGCUCCAGAAGAAAAAUCGGCGUUUGUCCAUGCCUCGCUCCCAAGGGCUGUGGCUGGAUUGUGGCAGCUGGGUGCUCGGGAGAAAAGAACAGAGCUGGCACAGGUCCCAUCAUACUUAUUAUAUUGUCUGCUUUUCAGUUAUUCUGAUUUAUGCUCUUUGACAGUGUUAACAUUAUGUAUGCCUUAUUGUUGAUAUCUAAUUGUCUUAAAAAAAAUCCAGUCAGCCUUUUUUUUUUCUCUUUGACAUUUUGUGUAAUCAAAUGAUGUUUGCACUCCAAAAUUUAGGUGGUAAGCUGGAAUUAAUCAACUAGAACAAUUAAUAGGGUUUACUUUAUACUAACAACUUAACAAGGCUUGUGUUUCUUUUGCUGGUGCAUUUUCAAUAUUUAUGUAUUAAAUUGCUAUUCGACUUGACAAUGUAGUUUGACAAAAUAGGAUGUGAUUUAUAUUUCCUUAUUAUUAUGUUUUAUUUAUGCUGUGCACUAUAGUGCUUUUGGGAAAAAAAUAUAAUGAAGCAUCAUUGGAAUUUUAUCAAACAAAUAAUAUGGUGGUGAUACAAGCAAUGGCAUGCCAAGCAUCACAGGUUUUACUCCACAUUCACUACAUGUUAUUAACCUUUAUUUCUUGUUCUUUUAGUUUGUCAUUUAGCCAUGUUCUAAUUUCACCAUCUUUCAUUUUUACAUGAUUCAGCCAUGUUAUCUUUAUUUGCAAUGAUAAUCAGAUUAACGUUGUCUUCUGUUAGCGCACUGUUCAAUACAAGAAUUGUGAUGGUAUGCUUUUAGCAUUCCUGUAAUCUCAUGCAGAGCUUAUUAUUCUGGUUGCUUGCCUUGGAUGUUCCUCUGUGUCGUAGAUGCCUAGAAGGAAGCAUAGGCUUAUUAUUUGUAGAUGCCAAAAUCGCCGCAGAUCACAGAGUUGCCACGGAUCGCUGUUUUUAUUGUGGGAAACUCAAGCGUUGCAUGGCAGUUAAUUCAGCGGCCAACAGAUCUGGGCGAAUUUGAAGGCCGCUCGGGCGCGCUUCGCUUAGCCACGGAUCGCUCUCCUUGGUUGCGGUGAAAAGAGAGAACGGCCCGGUAAACCGAAACGGAGGGAGUAUUGUACAGGAGUAGGCCAUCAGCAUAAGACAUGUGACUUAUGCCCUUCAGUUUUAUUCGAAGCAUUGUUUUUAAAAGGCGCCCCUAAAGCGUUGCCUAGGCGGCGCUUAGGCGUCAGAGCGGUCUCCAACACCGAAGUGUCGAUCUUGCCUUGGAGGGGCACGUGAGGCGUCCAGUGUGUCGAUUAGGCGUCAUAGGGCGAUGCCCAGGGCAAAUUGGAUGCCAUAUGCAGGUGCAGCAGCCUCCUGUGCGGAAAUUGAGCGCCCACAGGAAAUUGGGGAGAACUGGUAGCGGGUGGGAGAAUUGGAAGAAGUGUGGGGAGAGAGGGAGGCGCAGCUACCAGACAGCAGAUAAUCUAGAGAGAGCUUCUCUCUCCAGGCAGCGACCGGGCGGCGGGUCUCAGAUUCGCAGGCAGCAGGCCCGCAGCCACAGCUUACUCCUCCGGGCUGGGCCUCUCUGGCGCAGUUAUGUAUCCCCUCAUCUCUCUUCUCCUCCCCCUUCUUCCCGUGCCCUCCCAUGCUCUUCAAAUCACGGAAAUCACUAAUUAUGAUGCCUGAAAUCAUGGGCACGUAGAUCGUGGCGUAUUCCUAUCCUUAAGAUGCUACCUAUCAAUCAUGGUUAGUUACCAAUGUAUUUCAUACAUAUGAAUAGAGACAAUUUCGACGAAAGUUCGAAUUUGCCAGGGGUACAAAAGGAAUGAAAAUGAAUUCAUAAAACAUUCUUAUAAAAAAAUUAUGAAGUACUAGAAUUCUAUAACUACCAAGAAACUUUCAGUCUAUUCAUUGGAAUAGUUUAUUUAGUUAAUAAGUUUUUGGUACGGAGAAAUAAAAGCAACAGUUCGAGUAGUAUCUACAAAUAUUACUG